GGGCAGCAUGGGAGGCGGCCCCGGGCGCCAACUUUCAAAAGCGGGCGCGAUGGCGUCACGGGACGCGCUGCGAGUCGCGUCACGCCGCACGCGCCCUCAACUGGUCGCGCGUGGGCUCUUAGGGAGCCCGACGUCCGGGCUCCCGCUGGGUGGGGCUUCGUGGGCGGAGGCAGUCCCUUCUGGGCGGCCCAGGAUUCCGGCCCAGUUGACCUGCUCAGCUGCAGUCUCCCGCCCUGAAUCCGAAAGGGCGGACGUGGGGCGGGGGGGAGGGUGUUUGGAGGAAGCGCGCGCGGGACUAGGCCGUGGGGCUGAGGCGGUUCUUGGGCGGAGCCCCGCCCUAGUCUCCGCCCUAGCCGGGCCGGACCCGCCCUCCGAGCGCCGCACGGCAGCCCGCCACGGGUAAGGCCGGGCGGGUCCCCUCUCACUCCCAAGUCCUCAGAAACAAUCCUUCCCCCGCGAGCCAAGACAGGCAGGGCUGUCCUGGGGAUCCCUCUGCUCCUAAUACUGGGUGUUAGAGAAGAAGGCUUUUUCCUGGUGUGCCCAGGCCACUUCGGCCGGGAGAGGCCAGCGGAAGGCCAGACUUAAUGCUUUUACACGAACGAUCGUACCGGUCUUUUGCCAAAAGGAUGUUCUCUAUUUGGCGCAGUGUGAUUGUGUAUUUCAAAAUGUAAGUUUCUUGUUUUUGCCUGAGAACUGUUAAGCUCUCGUAGGCGGAAUCCUUAAGCCCCUCACUGUGCGGUCGCCCCUCCCCCUCCGGAGCAUGCACCUGCAGACUCUUCUACCCAACCAGCAAUAAAGCUCCCUGAAGACUGACUGACAUCUCCCUGGAAGAUGUUCUGGUGGCUCAGGAGGAGAACCUUUGAUACCUACGAGAAUCUGGCUCAGGACUGUAUCUUUAAUUCCGUUACCUUAGAUCAAGGGGGAACAAACGGACCCAGCGUCAAGGGAACAGCUGUUCUCCGUUGAGCUGAUUGUUCCAUUAUGAAAAUGAUCUUACAGGAUCAAACCCAGACCCACAGGAGUGAAAGCACUGAGUCUUAACCACUGGACCGCCACGAAAUUCCCUUGUUUGACUUAAAUCAGGGUGAAAUUCAUGAAAGAAUAUAAGGAAACUGGGAGGUUUGACCCUGGAUAGGAACAGGAUGCUUCCACUGUGGAAGUUAGAGUAACGGGUGAAGAUGGAUGCAGAUGCAGGGGAGAGGUAAAACAAGCUUGCAGUUUCCCUAGUGGGACUGCCUUGGCGGUAUUGGUGCCCAUUUGAAGUUUGCGGUCAUGAGUUCAUUGUUAUUAUUUUGGUCACAUAGCAUUCAGGAUCUCAGUUCCCUAAGAGGGAUCAAACCCACACCCCCUGCAGUGGGAGUGGGGACUCUUAACCACUGGACUUGCCAGGGAAGUCCUGACCAUGAAUUUAAAGUUAAACCAGUUGGCCCAGUGUGUGAUUUUCCUCCAGCAACAUUUAACUGCUUGGGUACAGAUGUGAAGAAAAGGGAUAGUUAGAUUUCUCAGAACCAAGACCCAAGUUUUCUGAUACCUAGUCUUAGGUACUUGCCUUAUGUGAUUAACUAUUCUAGAAAUGUGUGAAAUAUUUGGAAAAUUUACAUGUGACUCCUUUUUCUAGAAACCAAAUUAUUCCCGUUAACCUCAUGUAUACUUGAGGACUCAGGCAUAAAGAAAAGGCAAACUUUUUUUGAGAAAAAUUAUCAGACAUCUCUGGCAUAUUUGCAUUCUGUAUUUUUUUCAGCCUGCCACUCCAAAAAGCUCCUGGUAUACUUAGGAACUGCGUACUGGAAACAAAGCUGAUUUACACUUCAAUUCUUAGAUUCUUUUUUUCAAGUAUUUGUAAUAAUUUAAUUCACUUUCUCUAAGACCUUGCCUCAUACCAUCUUAUCUUUAAGCUUCAAGAAUGUAAUCUAAAGCUUUAGUGUAGGUAAAUGUAAAGCAAUAUAUUUAGAUGACAAAAAAAACCUCAGCUGUACUUAGAAUUAUCUUUACAGCUGCUAUGGUCUAAAUCUUUGUGUCCUCUCCAAAACUCAUAUGUGGAAAUCCUAAUAUUAGAUAUGAUGGUAUUAGUAAGUGGGACCUUUGGGAGGUGCUUACGUCCCUCAGAAAUGGAACUAGUGCCUUAUAAAAGAAGCUUCACAGAGAUCCCAGCCCCUGCCACCACGUGAGGGCACAGCCAGAAGGCACCAGCUGUGAACCAAGAAAAGGGCUUUCACCAGAAUGUGACCAUGUUGGUGCUUUGACCUCAGAUUUUCCAGCCUCCAGAACUGUGAACAGUAGACAUCUGCUGUUUAUAAGCACCCAGUUGGUGGUAUUUUGUUAUAGCAGCCUGAACAGACUAAGACAACUACUAUAUUUACACUGUAUCAACUAUCAUUACAACUAUAGGACCUCUGAGGCAUCAAUUAGAAACCAGAAUGAGGUCCAAAUGGCCUUGCAGCCUGCUCUCUGAAGACAAAGAUCCCAUGUGCUGCUCUGACAUGGCUGAGAAAAUGCUGAGAAUCACUAGGAAGGAACAAAAGGAAAUGUUUUCUUCUUGCAGGAAAUGGUGAUGUGUCCUACUCUGUGCAUGAAGUUGGCUCUAAAGAUCAAGGGACAGAAAGCCAGUCCAAAAGGAUAGUCUGUUUCAGGCCGGACAGAAACAGGCUGAAAAGAGUAAUAUGGUGAGAGCCUGCGGAACAGUUGGGAUGAUAAAAAUAAGGACAAGUUUGUUGCCUGUAGUACUAUCCCAGACUACGUCACCCAGAGAGAACUGUGAUGAUUUAAAACCGCCCAGUGAUUUAAGAUGGAGAAGGCAAUGGCACCCCACUCCAGUACUCUUGCCUGGAAAAUCCCAUGGACGGAGGAGCCUGGUGGGCUACAGUCCGUGGGGUCGCUAAGAGUGGGACACAACUGAGCAACUUCACUUUCACUUUUCACUUUGAUGCAUUGGAGAAGGAAAUGACAACCCACUCCAGUGUUCUUGCCUGGAGAAUCCCAGGGACAGGGGAGCCUGGUGGGCUGCCGUCUAUGGGGUCGCACGGAGUUGGACACGACUCACGCGACUUAGCAGCAGCAGCAGCAGCAGUAAUUUAAGAAAGUGUUCUUCCCAUGGACUGUCUCAGGUUUGUAGUCCACAGGAGUUCGAGGCAUUAUCAGCAGAAGGCUGUCAGCUUAUCUCGUGGCAGUAGUGCAAUCACCAGGUUCUAAGACCUGGCCCUCAGCCUCCAGAGUGGAUUCCUUCCUUAGAGACUCAUCAGGUUUACAGGAGCUUGAUGCAUAAGCCAAGUGACAUUUUACUAACUGAGAGGUGGACUGGUGCUCACAUGCCGGCAAAAGGUAUGUUCUCUCCCUGUAGGAGAGCCUCCUGGGAAGCCAUAUUACCAGGAAGCUUUGGUAAGCAGUUAAUUUAUAUAAUGUAAAUGUUUAAUAUGCUGGAGUCAUAUUGUCUGGCAUUUGAAUCUUGUCUUGGUUUCUUAUUAGCUGUGUGAUCUUGGGUGAAUUAGUAACAACUCAACUGCAGGUUUCUUCUCUAUAACACUUCUUCACAAAGUGGUAAGGACUGAAUGAGACAAUCCAAAUAAAACUUUAGGCAUAGUUCGAGGCACUGAUAAUCAUACAAUAAAUGUAAACUAUGAUUUUUUUUAAUUUUUAUGCUUAUUAACCUACCCUCACUCCCAAAUCUGCCUUCUGAUGGCCAUGGUCUUUAAUUAAUUAAUAGAAUUAAUUAAUUGAAUUACUUACUGUCUAGGCUUUCCUUGGCCUGGAAGCCAUUCUUUCUGAGGAAAGUGUAUUUGUCUAUUAUUCUUAGAAGAACAAUUCUAUUUCCAAAUCUUCCUUAGCUCCCACUGUUGCCCCCAGGUAAAGCUUGUGAUAAUCGUGAUCAUUUAUAUGUUUUUUGGGAACUCAUUAAGCAAGAGCCUCAAUGAACUGUGGAGAGAUGUGCUGAUUUUCUGAGGAACAAUGGACAAGACUUCCUGCCCACUUUGCAGGGUGAGACGUAAAGCUACACCUGAGCACUCCAUUGCGCUGUGUCUACUGAGGAUGUGUGUGAGGUAUAAUCCAGUGCAGCAAAGGUUUACAGAAUACUGCUGUCUUCAGCUCCCUUUCUAGGCACUGGGGAUACAAAGAUGACCCAAGAUGUGUUUCCCGCUCUUAAAGUUUAAAAAACAAAACCAAGACACAUUAAUGCAUAACUGUGAUAAUGGGAAGAAAUGGACUCAUAAAGGAGCAAAUCAUUUCCCAGGGGUAUCUCAUUUCAGCUUGGUGUUAAUAGGAUCUGAAGGGCUUCCCCGGUGGCUCAGUGGUAAAGAAUCCACCUUUCCAAUGCAGGAGACGUGGGUUUGAUCCCUGGGUCGGGAAGAUCCCCUGGAGGAGGAAAUGGUAACCUACUCCAGUAUUCUUGCCUGGAGAAUCCCAUGGACAGAGGAGUCUGGCAGGCUACAGUCCAUGGGGUCGCAGAGUCAGACGUGACUGAGCACACAGGCACACAAAAGCUCAGAAGGCAUUAACAAGGCAAGGCACGUAAGGUGAAGAGCCAUAAUCAAAGGCAUAAAAGGGUACAAGAGUGUUAGGGGGACGGUAAGUCUUCCCAUUCUUUUGGAUGAGGGUGUAGUGAGUGAUGCUAAAUCUUCUAAGAUAUUUGGAAAGUUUUCAAUCUCGACUGCCAAGGCCAACCACUUUUUCCUAAAUUUUAAAGACCUGCCCUUCUAUAUCAUCUCCUACCCAGACCACAGGAAUUUGUUUCCUUAUUGAUAUCUGCUUUCUUCAGAUCCCUAUGAAAAGUCUAUUUUACCUCCCAGCUCAAACUACUGCUCUCUACAGUCUAAAGGAUUUUGCCUGGGCCUACAUCUCACGUUUGAGCAGUAGGUUACUUUUGUUCUCUGUGCUCUUACCUGCAUUUUUCAGAUAUGCAUUGAUCACCCUUAAAUAAUCCACCUCAUCUGUUCACUUUUCAUUUUAAAAAACACCUUCAUGCCUGCCCUCUUAAUUGAUGUUCACAGUUCUUUUUGAAGAGCCAGCCACAGUUUUGUCCUUAACUCUAGAAGUGAAGUGACUUGCUCAGAGUCAUCCAGUAACUUGUUGACAAAACCAGAAUGAGUACUCAGAUCUUCCAGCCCCACCCUCUCUCUUCCUGUUCUUUCACUGGCCACUCUGCGCUCCUCACUCUGUUAGGUAAUAUUUCCAUUUUUAUAGGGAUCCUCUGUACUUGAUGCUUUAGCUCAGGGACUGCUUGGGAGGGGGAAAAGGAAGGGAGGUCUAUCAAGUGAGCUCUGGACCUCUCUGCUCCCUCAUUUUCUCCCCUCUGAAUUUUAUGUGAUUUGUUUAGAGGUAAAAAGGUUUCAUCCCCUCCAUGCAAGUCGGACAGUGCCUUAACCCAAAGGGAGGGCUUUAAUGGUGGAAAUUUCAGGCUCUUACUAAAUAGAAGAGCUAUUUGGAAUCACGAUUUACUAAUCUGUAAGUAAACCUUGAAUAGGGCUUCCCAGGUGGCUCAGGAGCCCUGUUAAUUAAUUAAAGACCAUGGUCAUCAGACUCAGGAGCCUGGCAGUCCAUGGGGUCACAACGAGUCAGAAACGAUGAAACAACUGAGCAUGCGUGCAUGCAAGUCCUGAAUCAACUGCUCUAUGCCCAGGUCUAUGUUCAAGGUGCUACUGGAGAGAGAUGAUGCCCCUAGCCUUCAAAGGCCUCAUGUUUUGUCUUGUAUUAAUCUGGAGACACUAAACCCUCAUGAGUAUUAGUAGGUAAAAGUCAAGGAUGGAGAAGCAAGUAAAAGGAGGGUAUGGGUAGCAGGUGUGGGAGGAACAGAUGGGUCACCGGAUAUCACUGUGGUCAUACAAGACUUCACAAUGAAGCAAGGAUGACUCUCAAACUUCUCCCUCUAGCCUACAUACUUCUCUUCUUGCCCAGAUCUACAUGUCUAGCUUCUUUCUGGACACUUCUCCUGGAUGGCUCCCAGGCUACCCUUAGGAGCCUUGCCACUCUCCUCCUCAUUUGCUUCGCUAGGGCUCCCCCUUUACAGUGAAAGAUACCCCCAAUCCAUCCACCACAGCGGCCAGAAACCUAAGCUUCAUUCUUUCAUCUCCCACAUCCCAUCAGUCUCCAAAUCCCGUCCGUUCUACCUUCUGAACCUUUCACUCUAACCUCCUCUCUAUCCCUACCUGGCUUAGCAUCAGGCUUUUUCUGACCACAGCAUCAGGCUCCUCACUGCUCCCUGCCUCCUCUCUCAACACAAAGCGACCUUUCCAAACCACAGAUGGGAUCACAGAAUUCCCCCGCUUCAAGUCCAUGCAUGAGUCCCCAGUGUUCUAGGAGUAAAUCCCAACUCCUCAGCCACUCCACAAGCCCCUUUCUAACUGCCCCCUCUGGAUUCAAUUUGCCUCCUCUACUCAUCUGACCUCAGUUCUCUCUGCUCAGGCUUCCAUUCCAUUCCUUAUUUGAGAACCCCAUGGUAAAAGUGCAUUCUAAGGAGCUACGUUUCAUAGGGGACUCUGAGGGGUUUUUUUAAUCCAGACUUUUUCUGCACUAAACGUAUACUGUUCUUUCAUAUUCACAAUGUUUUCAGAUUGUGUUAAGUUUUAGAGAUAUGCAUCAAAAGCUAUUUCUUGACCACUUACUAUAUAUUUGGCCUUAGUUGGUGGGAACGGUAAAGGCAGAUGCAGCCUGCUUAAACAGAGAAUUGCCUGGAGCACGUAUUUAAAAUAAAGAUUCCUUGGUCUCUGAAUUUGAAUCUCGAGGGAAGUUCUCAAGUGAAUCUUAGAACUGAGUAAGUUGGAAAGACCUAACCUGAUUUCAUUUAUAAGAGAUAUCCAGGGACCUCCCAGUGGCUAAGAUUCCCACUUCCACUGCUGGGGACGUGGGUUCAAUCCCUAAUUAGGGAACUAAGAUCCCAUAUGCCAGGUGAUUCAGCCAAAAAAAAAAAAAAAAAUGAAGAAGAAGAAAGACCCAGAAUAGGCAAAUCUAUAGAAUCUGUGGUUUCAGUAGGUUAGUGGUUGCCUUGAGGGCUGGGGGGCAGGAAAGGGAAGGGGAUGCAGAGGUCCUGGGAAUGAUACUUAAGGAGUGCUGAGUUUCUUUUGAGGUUGAUGAAAUCUCUAAAAUUGAUUUGGUGAUGAUUGUACAACCCUAAAUACACUAAAAGCCACUACUGAAUUGUACAUUUUAAACAGAUGAAUUGUAUGGUAUGCAGACUAAAUCUUAAUAAAGCUGUUUAAAAACAAAACAAAAAACUUGGACCAAGCUCUACAAGGAAGGCAGCAAUCGUCUUUCCUAGACUUGGGUGGUUGGUAUGCGUUACCUAGCUGACUAGUCAGCAAAUACUUACAGAUGUAUAUAUUGGAGGUAUAAACAAGUGAUUGCAAUGGGGUGUGGUUCCCCUAAAACUGUACUAGGGGAAACGCAUGCUUCUAUGAUAGGAGCACUGGAGAAGGCAAUGGCACCCCACUCCAGUACUCUUGCCUGGAAAAUCCCAUGGAUGGAGGAGCCUGGUGGGCUGCCGUCCAUGGGGUCGCUUAAAGUCGGGCACGACUGAAGCAACUUAGCAGCAGCAGCAGCAGCAUGAUAGGAGCACAGUGGAAGGGAAGCUUCCUGAGGAAAUCUGUGAUGUUCAGGUUGAAGCCUGUCAGGUAACCAGGCAUUAGCAAGGGAAGAUGAGGAGUGUACCACAGAGGCAAGCAAGGCCCAAGGAUGGUUCAGUGAGGUCCCAUGCAGACUGAGAAGUUAGGUGGCAGAAGUGGGGCUGGAGAGAGGAACCCACGUAAAACCCUUUGUGAGCCAGGUUGAGGGGGCUGGAAUUUUCCCUAAGAGAAACAGACUGUAGUGAUGGGUCUGUUUUUAGAAAUCACUUUGCACUUUGGAGACUGGAUGGAAGAAGGGCAAGACCAGAGUCAGGGAGCCUGUGAGGGAGCAGUUUUAGUGUUUAGGAGAGAGGUCAAUGUGUCUGGAAACUGAGUGGUGCCAAUGGGGAUGAAGAGAAACAGAACUUAGCAAUAUUUAGGGUAUUUAAUUGCAAAGAUUGUGAUGGUUGGGAUGAGGGCACAGGGGCAAGAAUCAAGGGUGAGGCCCAGUUGUGUGGCUUGAGUACCUGGCUUGAGUACCAAUAAACUGGGUAGAUGGUAACCCCGAGAGUCUGAGAGGAGAAGCAGGUUUUGAGAUGUUUGAUUUUGAGCAUGCUUUUCAAAAGGUGUCCAGUCAGCAGUUGGAUAUGAGGGUCAGGAGAUGAGGAGAGAGCCAUGUGAAUUACAGCCAUGAGGCAUACAGCCUCAGCAUAUAGAUGGAAGCCAGAGAAAUGGAUAAGGUGCUUCAGGGAGUGUGUUUCAAAAGAGAGGAGCAAGGGGCCUAGAAUGGAAUGCUGUGGAGUGAUGUUUGUAAGAGGAUGCUUGAGGAGGAGGAGGAGGAGGAGAAAGCUGUAGAGAGAUUCAGAGGAAACAGCUAGAAACGUCAGUGUUAACAUGGCAAUUCGGUUGCUUAUUCAGCUUCUCCAAGUCAAUACUAUUGGCAGAUCCAAUAUGUUCUGGGUGUCUUCAGAGAAAAAUGAGACUUGACCAUUGAUAUCAAACUCAAACUGACCAUCACCCCAUUGCAGCCUUCUGAAACAAGAGGCCUCUUCCUGCAGGUCAAUGACAGUCUUAUUUUCCAAAUGAUAGAUGUUUUUCCGUAGCAGUUCAUUUAGGUCUGGGAGUCCUUCCCAAGCUCACCCUCUGUAUUACGUCGGCCCAGGAGAGCCAGGUCCAGCAGCCAGGCCAACAGCCUUCUGUCCAUGGCCGAGAGAUGGCCUAAAUAGGGUCCUCCAGAGAUGCCAGGGGUCGGGGGAACAUGUCAUAUGUCCAGGGUUCAGCAAAUUGUACCCACACACCAGGCAGAAGCACACAAGGAAGACACCCCCACUCUGUGGGCAAGACAAAGAAGCAGUUCUCUUCCCACAUGCCAACCCAUCUGCCUCUUUGCCUUUACCAUGUUUUUUUCUUUCUUCUUUUUUUGGUUCUCUGCAGCUCUGAAUACAUGAGGAAGGAGAGCAGAGACUGGAGGAAAGGUAAGGUUGGAAGAGGGCAAAAGGAAAGGAGGUGAGGUGGGGGGAUCCAGUCCCCCCUACCCAAUAAACUGUAUGCUGGACUACCUCAGCCUGGUCCCUUUUUUCACAGCGUGGGCUUAUAAGUUUCUCCCAGGGAGAGCCCCAGCAAUAGUGGCCAGGGCAUGGCUGCAGCCUAGAUGGACUUGAUCGGUGGGGCGUUUCUCAGGGUGUCACAGACCUUGGAGGCCCACUUCCUUCUGUCCCCUCAGAGAGGCUGGCACAGGCUCCACAGGACAUCUGGGCACAGACUUUCCCUGCUCUGGUGCAUCUGACUCCUGGUGGUGUCAUCAGCCUCCCGUCACCGGAGGUAGCAGGCUCAAAACUGUCCAGAGUUGCCAGAGUGAUAGCCUCUCUGAACCUGUGUGACAGCAGGGGAGGUGUGCUGGGAGCAGCUUUGCCUUGUGCGAAGACCUAUGGGAGCACCUGUGAGGGUUUGUGUGUGCUGGGGGAGGGCAGGGUGUGCAGAAGGGCAGACAAGGGCUUCCCCUGCCCACCCCCCCAUUCCCUGCCACCUCAUAGACGUGGGCCUGAGCAUAGGAGGCCAUACAGCCUAACUUUAAGUAAUUGAUGGAGAGGGGUUGGGUGGCUGUUCUGGGGUUGAUCCACUGCUCUGAACUGGGUAGGCUCGAUGGGG
ensembl:lncRNA